CCGUGCUUUCAAGAUGGCCGAUGCCGAAAACCUGUGAUACCUGACACGAAGUAAUUAGCCGUGCUGUAUAAAAGCAGUACUUGGCGCGUUUCUAAGAAUUUAAAAUUAAAUCUUCUGAAAUGCAGUUUUACCUUAGUUAGUUUAUGAAAAUUGCUAAUAACGUGUCUCUAGAUAUAAGUGUGUAGUGCCUACAGACCUCCGUUCCACAUUAAUGAAGACAGGUGCCCAGGUCUGUGAUGCUGACACAUGACAAGGACUUGGUUUCAUCACCAUCUGCUGUAACAGCGAGCGACUACUGACACACAGCUGUAUGAAGCAGAAAUGCAUGCAUGGCCUCUUGCAGUUUUGUGCAACAAGGAGAGACUACUGCUCGUAUUACAGCUGACCUGAGGACGCAAGAGGAUGCUGAGCAGCUGGUCCUACAGUAUGUUGGAUUAUAGAUAGAAGCAUGUGCAUGUUGCGCCUUUGUGUGAGAGAUGCGUGUUUGGAAUAAAACAUUAUGCAGGAAGAACUUUAUUAUGCUUGUAGUAAGCUAUCUCAACAGCAGACAUUUAUGUAUAGUUAAUUUGUUCCUUCUGCAGAAUUUUGGUAUGAAAUCUAGAGUCCAUUAAUUCUGAUCAUCGCCUAUUUCUUGUUGCAGGCCAUGGAUUUUAUUAAGAAAGUUGUCUGAUUAGGAACUUUAAUUUUUGUCUGAAAUUUUUUUAUUUACACUAUAAAUGUAUCUGAUAAUGAACUUUGUUCAAAUCUCACUAAUUUUGUGGUACAUUGGAAGUUGAUGUUUCUGAUACUAUAGAAGUGCUGAGCAUCUUUGCUGGAUAUGUGUAACUGGAAUAUGUUAGAGAAAUGCAUAGACUAUUCCUAGUGACA